rnacentral:rRNA from 1 species
AGUGAACGCUGGCGGUAGGCCUAACACAUGCAAGUCGAACGGCAGCACAGUAAGAGCUUGCUCUUACGGGUGGCGAGUGGCGGACGGGAGAGGAAUACAUCGGAAUCUACUUUUUCGUGGGGGAUAACGUAGGGAAACUUACGCUAAUACCGCAUACGACCUACGGGUGAAAGCAGGGGAUCUUCGGACCUUGCGCGAUUGAAUGAGCCGAUGUCGGAUUAGCUAGUUGGCGGGGUAAAGGCCCACCAAGUCGACGAUCCGUAGCUGGUGUGAGAGGAUGGUCGCCCACCCGGGAGCUUGGCCACGGUCCAGACUCCUACGGGAGGCCGCAGUGGGGAAUGUUGGACAAUGGUGGCAAGCCUGGUCCAGCCGUCCCGCGUGGGUGAAGAAGGCCUUCGGGUUGUAAAGCCCGUUUUUUGGGUGAGAAAAGCAGCAGGUUAAUACCCCGCUGUUCUGACGGUACCCAAAGAAUAAGCACCGGCUAACUUCGUG